UACAGAGGGUGCGAGCGUUAAUCGGAAUUACUGGGCGUAAAGCGCACGUAGGCGGCUUGGUAUGUCGGGUGUGAAAUCCCCGGGCUCAACCUGGGAACUGCAUCCGAAACUGCCUUGCUCGAGUAUGGGAGAGGGAAGUGGAAUUCCAGGUGUAGCGGUGAAAUGCGUAGAUAUCUGGAGGAAUACCGGUGGCGAAGGCGGCAUCCUGGACCGGCAUUGACGCUGAGGAGCGAAAGCCAGGGGAGCAAACGGG
rnacentral:rRNA from 1 species